rnacentral:rRNA from 1 species
AAGCUUGCUGUUUCGCUGACGAGUGGCGGACGGGUGAGUAAUGUCUGGGAAACUGCCUGAUGGAGGGGGAUAACUACUGGAAACGGUAGCUAAUACCGCAUAACGUCGCAAGACCAAAGAGGGGGACCUUCGGGCCUCUUGCCAUCGGAUGUGCCCAGAUGGGAUUAGCUAGUAGGUGGGGUAACGGCUCACCUAGGCGACGAUCCCUAGCUGGUCUGAGAGGAUGACCAGCCACACUGGAACUGAGACACGGUCCAGACUCCUACGGGAGGCAGCAGUGGGGAAUAUUGCACAAUGGGCGCAAGCCUGAUGCAGCCAUGCCGCGUGUAUGAAGAAGGCCUUCGGGUUGUAAAGUACUUUCAGCGGGGAGGAAGGGAGUAAAGUUAAUACCUUUGCUCAUUGACGUUACCCGCAGAAGAAGCACCGGCUAACUCCGUGCCAGCAGCCGCGGUAAUACGGAGGGUGCAAGCGUUAAUCGGAAUUACUGGGCGUAAAGCGCACGCAGGCGGUUUGUUAAGUCAGAUGUGAAAUCCCCGGGCUCAACCUGGGAACUGCAUCUGAUACUGGCAAGCUUGAGUCUCGUAGAGGGGGGUAGAAUUCCAGGUGUAGCGGUGAAAUGCGUAGAGAUCUGGAGGAAUACCGGUGGCGAAGGCGGCCCCCUGGACGAAGACUGACGCUCAGGUGCGAAAGCGUGGGGGAGCAAACAGGAUUAGAUACCCUGGUAGUCCACGCCGUAAACGAUGUCGACUUUGGAGGUUGUGCCCUUGAGGCGUGGCUUCCGGAGCUAACGCGUUAAGUCGACCGCCUGGGGAGUACGGCCGCAAGGUAAAACUUCAAUGAAUUGACGGGG